GUUGUCUCCCGGCAUUUGGCCAAAAUGAAUCGUCUGAAGGAAGUUAAAUGUCAGCAGCCCUUACUAAGACAUCUCUUUGAAAAGGGCGACGAUUAUAGCCUUAGCAGCUCCAGCGCUUCAGGGGCUUGCUCACAAUCAGCACUACCGGGGACAUCUUCUCGCGAUCAUAGCUCGGAUGCAGACAAUAAUUCUGUGUGUGGUGAUCCAAAAGAGCGUUACGUCCGGAUGACGUAUUUGCCGGAAAAGGACAAGACCACGAUGAAGGAGAAUUUGUGCGGCCAAGAAA